GGUGGCUUUAGUAUAUACAUUUUCGGUGGUAAAUCUCUAUGGAUGUAUACGACAAAAGGAAGAUUUUCCACCGAGCGGGUGCAAUUGCUCGGUAGACCGACGGUCCGAAUGUUGUUGUUCGGGACUUGCAUCUGUCAAAUAUCUUGUAUGUAUAAUAUGAUGGCUAGCCGCCACACGUGCAUGUGCCCAGGGGCGACGGUGAUCAGUCUUCGGACAUUUGUGCACUUCGAUAGACAUUGGCAACACUAGGGCCAAAACAUGCCACCGGGCUUUUUGGCGGGAACGCGAGGAGUGAAGUUGUGUGAUUUGUUUUAUUUUGUCUAUUUAGUGUUUCUUCAGGUUUAAAUGUGUAAUAACGGUGGUUUAUUAACUAUUUAGUAUCUGUGAAAGUGCACAAAUGUGGGAAAAUGAAACAAAGCCGCCAUUUUCAUUUCAUUUUUUUUCCAUUCCAUUCCAUUUCAUUUUUUUUUUCAUUUUAUGCCAUGUUUCAUAUUAAUCAAAUUCACUUUAUUUCAUAAUAUCAUUUUUCAUAUAAAAAAGUUUUCAUUACAAUUAAAACAAGACUCGACCUAAAGGUAUUAGUUACCAUGUCAUAAAAUCCCUUAAAAAAUAAGUCUUUGACAAUAGAACCAUAAUAAUGUCCAAACUUAUAAUUUGAAUUAAUUAUAGCCGUAUCCAUACAUUCUUCCUUCGGCUGGUCGUAGGACCGUCGAGGCGAUUCGCCCGGUCCUUGUGGAUUGGGUGAAUCGUGACAGAGGACGCCUCACUUUCCGGCUCACGCAGGUGCUCACUGGGCAUGGUUGUUUCGGUGAGUUCCUGCACCGGAUCACAGCCGAGCCGACGGCAGAGUGCCACCAUUGUGGUUGCGACUUGGACACGGCAGAGCAUACGCUCGUCGCCUGCCCCGCAUGGGAGGGGUGGCGCCGUGUCCUCGUCGCAAAAAUAGGAACCGACUUGUCG